GACGAACCGUGCGAACGUUAUUCGGAAUCACUGGGCUUAAAGCGCGUGUAGGCGGGCGGGUACGUCGGCGACUGAAAGCCCCCGGCUCAACCGGGGAAGGGGUGCCGAAACGGCCGGCCUGGAGGGGCGUAGGGGGACCUGGAACUUCCGGUGGAGCGGUGAAAUGCGUUGAGAUCGGAAGGAACGCCCGUGGCGAAAGCGAGGUCCUGGACGCCAUCUGACGCUGAGACGCGAAAGCCGGGGGAGCGAACGGG
rnacentral:rRNA from 1 species